UCAGUGCCGGAUUAACCAUAUGGCAGAAGCGGCAUAUGCCACGGGCCCCGCGCUUUUGGGGGCCCCGCGCUUCUCUCUUCUAUUUUUUUUCUGAAAUUUUUGUUCCCUGUUUCAACGCGGGGCCCAAACAGUGCGCCAGUGCGGGGCCCCAAAGAGCCCAAGUCCUCCAGAAAACUCGAGGCCCCCAAAAAUCGGCCCCAAACGUUUUCUUUUUGUUCCCUGUUUUAGUGUUUCAGCGCGGAGGCCCAAAUUAAGAGCCCAAGGACCCCAGAAAAAGUUAUAGGCCCCAAAAUUUAAGAAUAGAGGCCCCAAAGUGAGGGGCCCGAAACGAUUUUUUGUUCCUUGUUUUAGCGUGGGAUCCAAACAGCGCGGGACCCUAAAGAGUCCAAAGCCCCCAAAAGCGAAACCCCAAAAGAAAAAAACCACGAGGCCCCAAAGUUAAAAAGGUGAGGCUCCAAAAGCA